AUUUUAUUAGUAUAAUUAGUAUGUUUGUUUUCCAAACAAAAGGUUUAAAAUUUUUAAAUAAAAUA
rnacentral:tRNA from 1 species